UACGAAGGGGGCAAGCGUUGUUCGGGAUCACUGGGCGUAAAGCGCACGCAGGCGGAUCGAUAAGUCGGGGGUGAAAGCCCGGGGCUCAACCUCGGAAUUGCCUUCGAUACUGUCGGUCUCGAGUCCGGGAGAUGUGAGUGGAAUUCCUAGUGUAGAGGUGAAAUUCGUAGAUAUUAGGAAGAACACCAGUGGCGAAGGCGGCUCACUGGCCCGGUACUGACGCUCAGGUGCGAAAGCGUGGGGAGCAAACAGG
rnacentral:rRNA from 1 species